ensembl:misc_RNA Metazoa_SRP Metazoan signal recognition particle RNA
GCCAGGCAUGGUGGCAAGUGCCUAUGUAGUCCCAGCUACUUGGGAGGCUGAGGUGGGAAGAUCGCUUGAGCCCAGGCGUUCUGGGCUGUAGUGAGCUAUGCCAAUUGGGUGUCCGCACUAAGUUAUGCAUCACUAUGGUGACCUCCUGGGAGCCAGGGACCCCCAGGUUGAAGGAGAGGUGAACCAGCCCAGGUCAGAAAUGGAGCAGGUCAAAACUUCCGUGCUGAUCAAUAGUGGGAUUGCGCCUGUGAGUAGCCACUGCACUGUGGCCUGAGAGACAUAGUGAGACCCCGGUGUCUCUU